CUUUAAUAUUAAUUCACUUAUAGGGUCUUUGCAUCGGAACUAAACACAUUUAUUUAAAAAACAGUUGUUGACAUUGCACGGGUUAUGUUCUUCUCAUACAUUUUAUGAUAGUAUGAUACUAAACCCCUAAAAGAAGGAUUGUCCCUGAUAUUUAUAUGAUGGUGACAUAAUCUUUCAAUCAGUUUAAUUGAAGUCUGGAGCUGACAUGUCAGUUAACUGCUAGUAGUCUGUUGUUAUUCAUGUAUUAUUGUCAUUUUAUUUAUAUUUUUUGUUACAUCUUCUGUCAUCGGACUCUGACUUCUCUUGAGCUAAAUUU
rnacentral:lncRNA from 1 species